rnacentral:ncRNA from 1 species
UCUUUCGGGGCAGGGUGUAAUUCCCAACCGGCGGUAAUCUUUCGAGAGAGCCCGCGACCUGUACGAUAUUUUUAUCGUAUGGCUGAUCCAGUUAAAGUCUGGAGCCGACAGUGAGAGUCUGGAUGGGAGAGAGA